GAAAUUAGUUUUUGGAGAGGAAUUUUUGGAGAGGCUAAGAUUUGGAGAGAUUAAUUAAAGAUCAAAGUAAAAGAGGUUUUUUUUGUCUAUUCUCGUUUUAAGUUCUUUGUUUGUUUAUUGUUUUUCUUUCAAUUUUAUUUUGUUUUUUAUACGAAAGUAAAAAUAAAAGUAAGAAGCUUACUCAUAUUUUCAUUACUGAAAAAGUUUUUUUUGAGGCCCGACCGCCGUGUACGGUGGCACCGACGACGGCCUGUGGGGGUCCGGGACCGGAGCAAAGCCGGACUGAUGGCCGGAUUUAGAAGGGAGGGGGAGAGUGUUAUUUUUAAUAUUGUUAUUAUUUUCUAUUAUUAUUAUUACUAAUACCACUAUUAUCAUCAUUAUUACUAUUAUAUUAUAAUACCUUUUCAUUAUUAUUACUAUUGUGUUUUUACUAUUAUUAUUAUAUUUUCCUUUUUUGUAUUUACUUAUACGUUAUUAUUUUUUACAUUAACUAAUUUAAUAAAUAUAUAUUUUUUAGCAUAUUUAUUUUAUUUACAUAUCAUUACUCUUAUUAUUAUUAUUUCAUCAUCUAUUCUAUUUAUAAUUUUUUAAAUAAUUUCAAACAUUUAGCUUAUUCAUUAUUUCCCUUUUUUAUUAUUUGUUUGACGCAUUUAUCUUACCUUCGUAUUUAUCGUUAUUAUUCAUAUUUGUGUUUAUGUUUAUCUUGUUAUGGUUAUUGAUUUUUAUUUGUUAUGCAUUCUUUAUUAUCUCGUUCCAUCACGAAUUUAGGUUUUAUCUAACCCAAUAAUAAUUCUUUCAUAAAAGUAAAUAUUCUGUAUUUGGUAAUUCGAGAUAAUCGUGCCCUAACUUACUAGGUUUUGACUUUUUUCAUUUAACCUAAAUACGGAAUACUCUUUUAAAUCGCAAUACGAGUUUUGAAAAAUCCUUAUUCUCGGAGAUACGAGGUGUUGUGCCUUAACUUACCGAGUAUGACAUUCUGUUAUCUCGAGAUAAGAUUUUUGCUAACAAAGGCAAUAUUCGGCAUUUGAAAAUUCGAGAUAUCGUGCCCUAACUUACUGGGUUUCAAUUUUUCUCGUUUACACUAAAUGAUCGAAUACCCUUUUAAAAAGGGUUAAAACACAUGAAUUUCAAAUAAAGGCAAGCUCAUUCUCAAAGUUCGAAAUGCCGUGUCCUAACUUAUUGGGCGUGACGUUUUAUUACUUUGAGAUGAGGGAGCCCUUAACAUCCGUUUUAAUUUAUUCAAUCAUUUUUAAAUUAGCAUUAAUACAAAGAAGGAUCGUAUUUUAAAUUCUUUCAAGUUUUCAAAUUUUCGACACUAAGACACUAAUUAAUCAACUAGGUACCAAUUUUGGGCGUAUUGAGGGUGCUAACCCUUCCUCGUGCGUAACCGACUCCCAAACCUGUUUUCUUAAUUUGCGUAGACCAAAACCGUUGUUAAAAUAAAUCAAACUAUUUAUUAAAAACAACCACUUUACUAGGUGACCCGAUCACACCUCAUCAAAAAGGAUUGGCGGCGACUCCUCUAAUCGUUUUCAUUUUCAAAAUCUAAGUCGAUCCCCGUUUUUCAAAAAAAAAGGUUUCGACACUAUGCACGAAUAUUAAUAAAAUAUAUUAUGAUAUAUUAUAGAUUUUAUUAAUUUGUAAUUCAACAAUUUUUUAAUAUUAAAAUAUAAAAAAUUAACUUUAAAAUUUCAAUUUAAAAAAAAUCAUUCCAAGUGUUUUAAUUUUAAAACAUACUAAUUUAAAAAAAACUAUUUUAAAAUUGAAAUAUUUAAAAAAUAAUAAUAUUUUAAGAAAACAUUAUUUAAAAAAAUAUUUAUGGUAUUACAAUAUUUAUUUAAUUUAAUAUAUAAUUACAAUUACAAUAUUUAUUUGAUAUACGAUUUAAAAAUAUUUAAAUAAUGAAAAAUGUCCCUUAAAUUAUAUUGAAAAAUAAAUGAAUAAAUGAAGACAUGAAAUCAUUUUUGUGAAAAUUGUUUCAUGAUCUACAAGGGCGAAUUUGGGGGUAGUAGGUGCCCGGUCCCCCUCAAAUAAAAAAAUUUGACCCUUUAAAAUUUUUAAAAUUUUAAAUCAAUAAAGGUAAAAUUAUACUUUGGCUCUUGUAAAAAUGAUAAAAUUUUGAUUUAAUAUUUUAAAUAUUACAUUUUUACUAUCGUAAAAAUUAUAAUUUAAUUUCGAUCCUUUUAAAAUUUUUUUUUGACUUCACCCCUGAUGAUCUACUUAAUAAUAGCCCUUAAAACAAUGAGUUAAAUUUUUUUUUUUACAUUCUCAUUAUAAAUUUUAAGAAAUUUUUUUAUGUUAUAAAAAUUUUUAUUUUAUUUAAAAACAGUAAUAUAUAUAAUAUGGCUAGAAAGUAAAGUCUGAAUACACUUUUUUUGUUUUUAACCAACAUUAUAUAACUGCUAAAUAUCAUUUAAUUAGAAGGUGUAAUUCGAUAAGAAUCGUUUACCUUACAGUUACAUUCGUUAAAAAAAAAUUGUUUCAACCAAUUAAAAAGUAUCACAUCGGUAUUUUUAAAAACUUUUUUUGACAAAAUAAAAGUUUAAACUUAUGGUUAGACCUAUUAAUGGGCUGAACUACUCGUCUUGUCUUGAAGGUAGAGUGUUCAAUUGGUUAACCAACCCGAACUAGCAUUAACCGAAUUAACUGGCUCUUUUGAACCCUUAUCCGUUAAGCGAAUCGAAAUUUUUUUAAAAAAAUUUAACCGAACCGACCUUUUUUGGUUAAUUUGGUCGGUUAACCGAAAUUUAUAUGUUUAUUGAUUUUUGGUUAAAACAAGUAUAAAACAUAUAAAAAAUUAACCGAUGGAUCAACUUUAGUUAGUAAAAAACUUCAAUCACCGAAUUGCACAAAAUUCUAACUUAAAUUCAAAUGCAGCAAUCAGAAUUAACAAUUAAAAAUCAGAACUCACCGGAAUGUCUACUCUUUUUGAUUUGAACAAACUCUACAAUCACUCAUUGCUCAUGGUCAUCAAUGUGACAGCCCUAAUUUGACCCUAGUCGGGAAGUGGUUUUGGGACCACAAAAUCGAGUCACAAAAAUAAUUAAAUGUUAAAUUCUAUGCCUAUUAUAAGUGAAAGUGUAUGUGUGAAAAUUUCAUGCUUUGAUUUUGUCAUUUGAAUGUGAAAUUAAUUAAAAAGGACUUAUGUGAAAAAUAUUGAAAUUGUGAUAGGUUGAAGUGUAGUGGUCAAAUAUUGCAUGGCUUAAAAUAUGGGGAUUUGCAUGUCAAAUUCCCCAUUUUUAUGUAAGCGGCCGGCCAUGAUGAUGGUUGAAUAGCCAUAUAUGCAUUAUAUAUUAUAUUAUAAUAGUUAAUGGUUUAAAUUAUGAAAAAAAAAGGGAAGCCAUACAUCCUUGUCUUGUUCUUGCCAAAUGUUGAGAAAGAAAGAAGAAAUAUAAUUAUUAAAUGAUUUUUGGCCACUAUAUAGGUAAGUGGACGGUAAUGGACCACCAUUAAAAGGUUUUGAUAUUAAAUUACAAAGAUUAAUUUAGUAAUUGGCUUAUUAAAAUGAAAUAUAAUAAAACAAAGCCACAUUAGAGUUCAUCUUUUCUUCAUUCUUUCCAACAGACAAUAAGUGAGAAAAGGAGAUUAUGGGCAGUUUAUGGGUUAUUUAUUACAACAAGAGAAAAAGAUGAUAAUAAUGCUGAUUAAUGUUGUUUAUUAAAGAGUAUCUUAAUGCUAUCCAAAUAUGUAAUCUUUGUAACUUUAAGUUUCAUGAACAAAUAUAAAUUCCUAUUGUAUUCAUGUUGCCCAAAUUGAAACGAAUUGGAUAAUGGUUGUGUUUGUGUUGACCAUUUUUGAGUAAUAAAGAUGUUUUUAUUUAUUUGUAAUUAAAUGAUAGGAUGGUUUGAGUUUGAACUUGAUUUGAUAUUUGAGUUAGUUAAUAUAUAUUGAUUUAUUAUUAUUUUUUAAUUGUGAAAUAAAUAGAUCGGUUAUAAGCCAGGGAUAAGAGAAGGUCGUGGAAUAAUCAUCUCUGACUUGAGGUAAGUUCACAUGCAAUAAGCAUUGUUAAAUUUAUGUUUCUAAUGCUUUAAUAUCGUAUAAAUUGUAUAUACAUGAAUAUUUUAAUGUCUGACGACAUAUCGACAAAAUGUGGCAUUUAGUGUGAAGGGUAAUCAAAUAUGGUACUCAGUGUACGAAAUAUUGAGAAUGACACUUAGUGUGCGAGAUAUUGAGAAUGACAUUUAGUGUGUAAAAUAUCGAAUGAUUCAAAGGGCAAUUAUAAAUUGUGAUUUGAAUGACUAAAUAGAGCAAAGUGAACAUGUAUGCAUGCUAUAUUAUAUGAAUUGUUUAUGAGACGACUUUAUAAUGGUGAUAUUCGGGCUUUGAGCCUAACAAGCUUUAAACUGGUGAAUAAUAUUAUCGGGCUUUGGGCCUAGCAGGCUAUAAUGCUGGUGAAAUGAUAUCGGGCUUCAAGCCUAGCAGGCGAAAUGUCGGUGAAUGAGUUCAGACUUAAAGUCUAGCAGGCUUCGUGCCGGUGACGAAUUCGGGUUUAGAACCUAGCAGGCUAAAUGAUGAUGAUUUGGUAAAAGUCUAAGACUAUGAGACCUUGUGUUAAAUCGACCAUUGAAUUCGUUCAAUACAUUAAGUUGGCCAGGUAUGUGAUAUAUACUUAUGCAUGUUAGAUCGAUUGGAAUUGAAUCAUGAAGGUGAAAUGAGAAGCAUAGGUGAAAAUGCCUAUGUCAUAUAUGUGAGUAAGGGUAAAACCAUCGUAAAUUAUCGAUAAGGGUGGGCUAUGUGCGGAACCAUCUUAUAAUUGCUAAUUUGAACGGUUGUGUGCGAAUCAUUGAGCAUGAUGUAUUGUAUUGAGAUUAUGCUUAAGUGAAAUUAUAGAUGUGAUGAAAUUGAUUGGUGAUAUACAUGUUUAAAUAAUGUGAAUGCAAAGAAUGUGUGAAAGAGUAAAUUUGUAAUAAAUCUGCUUAAGACAGCAGCAGUAACGUGAUUUUGGAAAAUCACCAUAAAUUGUGGGAGUUGAGUUAGAAGCUGAAUAAAUUAUUCAAUUAAAGCUUAAUGAGUCUAGUUUCUUAUAAAAGAAACCGUGUAAGCAGAUAAUGAGAUAUUUGAAGUGGCGUGGGAUAGAGUCAAAUGACUUCGGGGUCCCCUAUUCUGUUUUUAGAAAAUCAUUAUAGUUUCUACAAAAAUAGUUAAUAGAUAAAAUUUAUAUUAUUAGACUCCUUAAUGAGUCUAGUUUCAAAUGAAAUCAACGAGAACAUAUUUUGAAUUCUGUACAAUGAGAAAUUUGAUUCAUAGUGAAGAGUGGUCAGAUUAGUCAAACAGUGAAACAGGGGAAUUUUUAAGAAAAAUCUGGUAUUGAUUGGCCAAACCAAAAAUUCUGAAAAUUUUAUGAAUAGAAGAUAUAUGAGUCUAUUUUCAGGGAAAAUUAACGGCAAUUGAUUUGGAGUUUCAUAGCUCCAGUUAUAAAUAAAUUAGUGACUGUUGCUCAGGAAGACAGCUUGUUGUGAACUUGAGUAUAUGUUGUAAACAUUGAUAAAACAUGUAAAUGAGCUGCUAAUUGUUUUCUUAAGAACUUACUAAGCAUAAAGCUUACCCCCCUUCUUUCCCAUGUUCUCUAAGGUUGCCAGGUUUGCUCGGGUUGGAGUUCGCCGGAGAUGUUAUCACACUGUCGAGCUAACGCUAUGGGUGUAGUGAUUUCAAAUACUUUGAGUCUAUGGCAUGUAUAGGUGUGUAAAUAUUAGAGUAUGUGAUCUGGCUUUAACCAUAUGUGUUGGCUUAUUUUGAUUAUGGGGUUGUAAAUCCAUUUUAAUUAUGCAUGAAUGUGCUAUGGUAUUACGUGAUGAGUUUAUAAUGAUUAAAGUAUGAAUUUUCCAAGUUUUUCUUAAGUUCUCGGUUUAGUCCCAAACCACCCCAGAUGUAUGUUUUGGGUCUCGUGAACCCAUUUAAGGGACACAAUUUUUGUGAAAUGAAAAGUUAAAAAUUGAUCAAAAUUUUAUGGCUCGAUUUUUUUAAUAUAUAGAGUUGAUUGAGUUUAAGUCAGGUGACACCUCGAACCCUGUUCUGGCGAGGGAUACGGACGAGAGGUGUUACAUUUAGUGGUAUCAGAGCUAUGGUUUAGUCGGUUCUCGGACUAACAUAGCAAGUAUAAGAGUCUAGCUAUACAUGCCGUAAGUAAAGCGUGAUAGUGUGAUAUCUCCCGGCUCUUAUAAAUUGUUUUGCUCAGGUAAUGAUGUAUUCCAACCGACCUAUUAUUAAUUGAUCUGAAAAUGCUAUUAAACUGAUUGUAAUAUAUUUGUGAUAUGACGGAAUUGGAAAUGUAUGAAAAGAAGUUUAUGAUAUGUGUGCAUCAGUGUAAAGAUAUGUAUGAGAUUGUAUAAAGUAAAUGGUAAUGAAAGAUCAAAUUGGGUGGAACGCAGGGAAUGAGUAUGAUCGUUCACUAAUGAAUUGACGGAAAAGACCAUGGUUGGACCAUGACAAUACAUGAAAUAUUUAAGCUAGUGUAAGACAUGUCCGGGACAUGCAUCGGCCUCGUAGGUGCAAGGGUAAGACCUGUCUAGGACAGGCAUCGUCACCGAGAUAGAGGAGCUAGUGUAAGACCCGUCUGGGACGUGCAUCGGCUCAACUUGUGCUAAACGUAAGACUUAUCUGGGAUAGGCAUCGGCACGACAAUAGCAGAGCUAGUAUAAGACCAUAGUUGGACUAUGUCAUCAAGUAGGCGGUGUACUCAAAACCAUAAGACGUUCUUCAAUUUGAUAAAUAGUGACAAGUGAUCAAGAUUAGACGUGGAAACUUGAUAAGAAAUUUUUGGUAAUUUGGGUAAAAGAAAUGAAAGUUUGAAUUGUGAUAAAUUCACUUAUGUUUUAUUGACAUUCACAGGAAAUAAAGUUGCAUGUAUUACUGAGAUGUAUGAAAACGUGUUCAUAAUAAGUUGGAAAUUUGAAAUGUUUGAAUCAAUGUGCGUAAUGCUAUGUUGUUUUUGAAUGUGCACUUGCUUGAAAGUCAAAAGUUUAAAGGCUUUACAGUUUUCACCCCUUACUAGAAUAGAGUUAUACGAUGAGAUUCUCGAGAGAUAUAUUGCAUGAGUUUGCAAAAGUGAAAUUAAAGAGUACAAUAGUGUAAUAGUAUGGGAUUAGUGAAAAGAGAAUUAGACGGUUGAGUCAUGAUUGAAUUAUAUUGAUGAUUGAGUGCAGUAGUUAUAGUCGGGCAGUUAUUAUGACUUCUUCAGGGCAUUCUAUGUGUACGUUUAUCUUCAGAAGUAUAUGUGAUGGUUUAAUUUCAGAAGGAAUUUUUGUCAUAAGAGAACAUUAGUUCAGCAUACUAAUAAAAGAAAGUAUCGUUGGUUUGUUUGGGUUAUGUUCGACAUUGCUAUGUCAUUCUUUGGUAUUUAUUUCUAUAUGUGAAUAUGAAAAUAUAUAUAUGUGUGUGUGUGUGAUGCUAAUACUCUAUUUCUACUGAUUAUUGUUCGGUUGAAUAUUCGUGAAGAGUAUAUCGUCUCUGUUAUUAUGGAUUUCAGUAAUUAUGAGUGAUAUUGUUCUUUCUGGACAUUUUCUGGGAUAUUAUCGGAAUUGAUAUCAUUCUAUAUGGGUGGUAAUUUACUGAUAUUCUGUGUAACUGCAGACAUUGAAAUUUUGCUAUAGCGGUUUCUUAUGAUUUCAUGUGAUUAUCUGUAAGAAAUAUUUAUUUGACAGAGUUGAUUAUGUUUAUUAUGAUUAUAAUUUCUGGCUUGAAAGGUGAGAGUAUAGUGGUACCGUUAUCGGAGCUAUAGAAGUUGUGAUUCUGCAUUGGUUGCUGUUUAAACCAUAUUUGAUUCUCUUCUCUGUUCAAAUGUUUCAUUAACAAUCUGGAUAAUAUCUAUUAUAGGGUGGAGACAGUUUUAUUAUAAACUUUUUCCUAGUUAUUGUGAAAGGUUCAACAUCAUUUAAAGUGAAAAUGAUAGAAGAUCAAGAUUAAAUCUGUAUAGUGAUAUUUCGGAGGUUAUCUUUUUAAUAAGAAGAAAGAUGUGAUUUGAGGGAUAGUCUAAAAGAAGAAUCUUAAUUCAUGAAGAUUUGGUACAAACUAUCGGAGCAAUUCUAUGAGAAAAGUUAAAGUUAGUUCGAUUGUUGAAGCUUCUUUUUGCACGAAGGUAUUAUCAACCGAAAUGUCAGUGUAACAGCCCAAUUUUGGGCCUAGUCGGAACAGUGGUUUCGGGACCACUAUUUUGAGGCCAGAGAAAAUUAUUUUAGUAUUAUUUUAUGUGUUAUAAUGUGAUUUUAUAAGUGCAUGUAAAUUUUGGUAAGUUAAUUUUAGCAAUUUCUAGUCCAAUUUUGAAAAAGGACUAAAUCGCGUAAAAGGUAAAAGUUGUGUUUUAAUACCUAAAGGUGUUAAAUUGCCUUUUAUCUUAAAUUGGGGGUCUUUAAAGUGAAAUUAGGCCAUUGAAAGUGUGAUGGCAGGGCCAUGGGAGACAAAAUUGUUGAAAAGUCAAAAUCAGCCCGAUUUUAGGCCUAGUCAGAACAGUGGUUUCGGGACCACUAUUCCGAGGCCAGAGAAAAUUAUUUUAGUAUUAUUUUAUGUGUUAUAAUAUAAUUUUAUAAGUGCAUGUAAAUUUUGGUAAGUUAAUUUUAGCGAUUUCUAGUCCAAUUUCGAAAAAUGGCUAAAUCGCGUAAAAGGUAAAAGUUGUAUUUUGAUGCCUAAAAGUAUUAAAUUGCUUUGUGUAUUAAAUUUGGGGGUAUUUAAAGUGAAAUUAGGCCAUUGAAAGUGUGAUGGCAGGCCAUGGGAGACAAAAAUUGUUGAAAAGUCAAAAUUAGGUGAACUUGGUCACCAAUUUUGACUAGUUUUAUUAUUAAUAAAUCAAAAAGAAAAAGCUAUCAUUUCUCUCUUCUCCUCCACCGAAAAUGGAAGCAAAGAAAGGGGUUUUGAAGCUCUAAAAUAUCAGCCACUUACAUCCCUUGCUAGUAAGUGAUUUUUAAUAUUUUUCUUGAUGAUUUUUACAUUUUUGGAACCCCUAAAGCAUGAGUUGUCAUAAGAGGGGACUAUUUUGCAAAAUGAUUAAGAGUAUAGGGUUUUUCCAUGAGAGUAAAUGUGUUGUUUUCUGUGUUUUUAUGGAAGAUUAUGAGUCCUAGUUGUCUAAUAAACAACUUUUAUGAAAGAUAUUGCAUGAAAACACCUUAAAAAGUGCUAGAUUGCUAAGUUGUAAAAUGAGUUGUAAAUGUGUGAAGUAGUUAAAAUUAUGAGUUGCUAUAGUUAUGAAAAUGGUUCAUCUAGACUCAAGAAGUAAAGAAAUGUGAUAAAAAUUAUUUUACGAGCCUAGGGGUAAUUUGGUAAUUUUGGCAAAAUAUAGGGGAAAAAUUGUAAAAAUUGCCCAAGUGUGUCAAUGGACUAAUUUGAUCAGUACAUUGUUUUAAUAAGUUGAAUGUGAUGUUUUAGAUGAUGAAAAUCGAGAUUUGGACUUAGAACGGAAAGAAAUCGAUUAAGGGAUAAUUACGUCUUUUUCACCUUUGUGGUAUCGAGGUAAGUUUGUAUGUAAACAAUACCAUGCUAUACAUGUAUUUAAAUGUUAUAAUUACAUGAAUUGUACAAAUAUUAAUGUGUAUGUGAUUAAUAGAAAUAUGAUACUACAAAGCCUUAAUAGACGAGGAAAAAUCCCGUUUGAACCUUAGGAAUAGAAUAGGAUACGAGUGACAUGUCACUAGGAAUUAUGAGUCUAGAUGACUAGCUCAAGAGUGAGCAUUGAAAUGUCAUGAGAUAUGAGGUAGCUUUAGCUACAAUUGAGGCACUUAUGUGCAAAGGCUUUUCCGAGUAUCCAAUUAGUAUUCCAAGUGUUCAACGGGUAAUCCAAGGAAAGAGUUGAUGAUGGUCCCAAUGAGGUAAGUCAUUGGUGAGUAUGCACUUGAGUUAUGUUACGAGUUGUGCAACUAUGUAUACUAAGCCUAUGAGAAUGCCUUGAUAUGUGAUGAUCUAUGAUGCAUAAUAUGUGUUCUUACCAUGAUGGAUGAAAUGAUGUUGUAUUAAUUUUGUAAACAAUGAUAAUGAAUGAGUAACUUAGCCUUGACAGAUUUGAGUUACUGCAGUAGUGUAACUUUGAAAAUACACUAAAAAUAGUGGAAAAUGAGUUAGAGGCAAAAUAAAAUAUGAGAUUAAAUUUUAAUGAGUCUAUUUUCACAUGAAAGAAACAGGGGAAGAAAAAGAAUUCUAUAUCGUGUGAUAUUUGAAUUCUUGUGAAAUAGGGUCUGAAUGAAUUCGAGAUCCCCUAUUCUGACUUUAUAAAUUCACCAUAAAUUGUAAAAAAAUUAAGAGUCAUACAUUACAUUCAUGGAUUCCUUAUUGAGGCUAUUUUUAAGGGAAACAAACGUCAUGGUCGUUGGAAUUCUGUACAGGGAGAAAUUCAGUUUGUAGUGCACAUGGGUCAGAGUAGUCAUACCCUGAAACAGUGGAGAAUUUAACUAAUAAACUGUACAAAAUGGCCCAGCCAAAAAUUCUAGAAAGAAAUUAUUAAAUAGACAUAUAAGUCUAGUUUCAAGAGAAAUAGACAAGAACAUUAUUCGAAUCUUGUACAAUGAGAUAAUUGAACUUUAGUGCAGAAGGGUUGAAACUGUCAGACAGUGAAUCAGGAGCAAACUUGAGGAAUAAACUGUACUAAUUGGCUAAGCCAAAAAUUCUGGAAAUUUUUUGGAAGAAAGAUAAAUGAGUCUAGUUUCAGGAAAAAUUUACGGAACUUAAUUCGGAGUUUUGUGGCUCCAGAGAUAAAUAAUUUAGUGACUGUUGCUCAGGAAGACAACUUGUAGUGAACUUGAGAAUAUGUUGUAAACAUUGAUAAAACAAGUUAAUGAGUUGCUUAUUGUUUUCAUAUGAACUUACUAAGCGAAAGCUUACCCAUUCUUCUUUCCCAUGUUUUCUAGAGUUGCUAGGUUAGCUCAGGUUGGAGGCCGUCAGAGAUAUUAUCACCCUGUCGAGUUAACGCUAUCGGCGUAAGUAAACUCAAGUGAUUCGAGUCUAUGGCAUGUAUAGGCUUUUAAUGUGAGUAUGUAAUAUUAUGAUUUAGCCAAAGGCAUUGGCUUGUUAUUAAGGUAGUAUUGUAAUAUUAUGAUUUAGCCAAAGGCAUUGGCUUGUUAUUAAGGUAGUAUUAGUCAUGUAAAUUGGCCUAUGUCGGCUAAUGAUGUUAUGGGCCCAUAUGAUUAUUCUUAUGCAUGUAUGUUAUUAUCUCUUGUGAUGUGGCUUACAACAUGUAUGCCUAGAGAUUGAAUUGAGAUUCAUUGAUGAGCUAAUAACUAAUGCAGGAUUAAGUGAUUGGUAAAUAGUUAAUAAUGCUUCAUGAAUGGUUUGUGGAUAUGAUUAUGCAUGCUUUGUGAUGGACAUGAGGUUUGAUGACAUGUUGAUAGCUAUAGCAUUAAUGUGGUAAAGAUGAAAG
rnacentral:lncRNA from 1 species